UACGUAGGGUGCAAGUGUUAAUCGGAAUUACUGGGCGUAAAGCGUGCGCAGGCGGUUAUGCAAGACAGAUGUGAAAUCCCCGGGCUUAACCUGGGAACCGCAUUUGUGACUGCAUAGCUGGAGUACGGCAGAGGGGGAUGGAAUUCCGCGUGUAGCAGUGAAAUGCGUAGAUAUGCGGAGGAACACCGAUGGCGAAGGCAGUCCCCUGGGCCUGUACUGACGCUCAUGCACGAAAGCGUGGGGAGCAAACAGG
rnacentral:rRNA from 1 species